rnacentral:rRNA from 1 species
GACGAACCGUGCGAACGUUGUUCGGAAUCACUGGGCUUAAAGGGCGCGUAGGCGGGCUCGCAAGUCCGGGGUGAAAUCCCACGGCUCAACCGUGGAAGCGCCUUGGAUACUGCGGGCCUCGAGGGGGGUAGGGGCGUGCGGAACUUCCGGUGGAGCGGUGAAAUGCGUAGAUAUCGGAAGGAACACCGGUGGCGAAAGCGGCGCGCUGGACCCCUUCUGACGCUGAGGCGCGAAAGCCAGGGGAGCAAACGGG